GAAGGGGGCUAGCGUUGCUCGGAAUCACUGGGCGUAAAGGGCGCGUAGGCGGCUGAUUUAGUCGAGGGUGAAAGCCUGUGGCUCAACCACAGAAUUGCCUUCGAUACUGGUUGGCUUGAGACCGGAAGAGGACAGCGGAACUGCGAGUGUAGAGGUGAAAUUCGUAGAUAUUCGCAAGAACACCAGUGGCGAAGGCGGCUGUCUGGUCCGGUUCUGACGCUGAGGCGCGAAAGCGUGGGGGGAGCAAACAGGAUUAGAUACCCUGGUAGUCCACGCUGUAAACCGAUGAAUGCUAGCCGUUGGUCUGCAUGCAGGUCAGUGGCGCCGCUAACGCAUUAAGCAUUCCGCCUGGGAGUACGGUCGCAAGAUUA
rnacentral:rRNA from 1 species